rnacentral:rRNA from 1 species
GUCGCUACUACCGAUUGAAUGGCUCAGUGAGGCGUCCGGACUGGCCCAGGGAGGUGGGCAACUACCACCCAGGGCCGGAAAGCUCUCCAAACUCGGUCAUUUAGAGGAAGUAAAAGUCGUAACAAGGUCUCCGUUGGUGAACCAGCGGAGGGAUCAUUACCGAGUUUACAACUCCCAAACCCAUGUGAACAUACCUUUACGUUGCUUCGGCGGAGCCGCCCCGGCGCCCGGAACCUCUUCGGUUUCGCGGCCCGGAACCAGGCGCCCGCCGGAGGCCACAAACUCUUUUGUUUUUACAGUUUCUUCUGAGUGUGCCGCAAGGCAAAAUACAAAUGAAUCAAAACUUUCAACAACGGAUCUCUUGGUUCUGGCAUCGAUGAAGAACGCAGCGAAAUGCGAUAAGUAAUGUGAAUUGCAGAAUUCAGUGAAUCAUCGAAUCUUUGAACGCACAUUGCGCCCGCCAGAAUUCUGGCGGGCAUGCCUGUUCGAGCGUCAUUUCAACCCUCGAGCUCCCCUCUUUUGGGAGAGCCCGGCGUUGGGGACCCGGCGCUAACACCGCCGGCCCCGAAAUGGAGUGGCGGCCCGUCCGCGGCGACCUCUGCGUAGUAAUAUCCACUCGCACCGGGACCCGGGCGCGGCCACGCCGUUAAACACCCCACCUUCCGAAUGUUGACCUCGAAUCAGGUAGGAAUACCCGCUGAACUUAA